GAUGAAGAACGCAGCGAAAUGCGAUAAGUAAUGUGAAUUGCAGAAUUCAGUGAAUCAUCGAAUCUUUGAACGCACAUUGCGCCCGCCAGUAUUCUGGCGGGCAUGCCUGUUCGAGCGUCAUUACAACCCUCAGGCCCCCGGGCCUGGCGUUGGGGAUCGGCGGAGCCCCCCGUGGGCACACGCCGUCCCCCAAAUACAGUGGCGGUCCCGCCGCAGCUUCCAUCGCGUAGUAGCUAACACCUCGCGACUGGAGAGCGGCGCGGCCACGCCGUAAAACACCCAACUCUUCUGAAGUUGACCUCGAAUCAGGUAGGAAUACCCGCUGAACUUAAGCAUAUCAAUAAGCGGAGGAU
rnacentral:misc_RNA from 1 species